CCUACGGGAGGCAGCAGUGGGGAAUAUUGGGCAAUGGGCGCAAGCCUGACCCAGCAACGCCGCGUGAAGGAAGACGGCUCUAGGGUUGUAAACUUCUUUUAUCAGGGACGAAGCAAGUGACGGUACCUGAUGAAUAAGCCACGGCUAACUACGUGCCAGCAGCCGCGGUAAUACGUAGGUGGCAAUCGUUAUCCGGAUUUACUGGGUGUAAAGGGCGUGUAGGCGGGAGUGCAAGUCAGAUGUGAAAAUUAUGGGCUCAACCCAUAGCCUGCAUUUGAAACUGUACUUCUUGAGUGCUGGGGAGGCAAUCGGAAUUCCGGGUGUAGCGGUGAAAUGCGUAGAUAUACGGAAGAACACCAGUGGCGAAGGCAGAUUGCUAGACUGUAACUGACGCUGAGGCGCGAAAGCGUGGGGAGCAAACAGGAUUAGAUACCCUAGUAGUC
rnacentral:rRNA from 1 species